GCAUGGCUGAAUACUGUGUUCUUUAGUCAGUAAUUUACACAGCCAGACACCAUGCAAAAGUAAAGUCUUCCUUUAAGAUAUCAGUUGAUAUGCUAUAUUUUAUGGUAUAUCAUUACUAAAAGUGAGUACAAAU